rnacentral:rRNA from 1 species
UACGUAGGCAGCAAGCGUUGUUCGGAGUUACUGGGCGUAAAGGGUGUGUAGGCGGCCUGUUAAGUUCCGUGUGAAAUCUCCCGGCUCAACCGGGAGGGUGCGCGGAAAACUGGCGGGCUAGAGUACGGGAUGGGAGAGUAGAAUUCCUGGUGUAGCGGUGAAAUGCGUAGAUAUCAGGAGGAAUACCGGUGGUGUAGACGGCUCUCUGGACCGUAACUGACGCUGAGACACGAAAGCGUGGGUAGCAAACAGG